rnacentral:misc_RNA from 1 species
GUUCUAUGCAGCGUGGUUCACACUGCUGAUUUCAUAUCUACCCAUCUUUGGUGGAGACUAUCGAAAGUGAUAAUAAUGAUAACUUAUCAAAUAACUUUCAAGAUGCAGUUUACAAGUUAAUUCAAGCUGAGUCCAGAUUUAUUACGUGACAUGUCACAGCGCACUAAAGUUCUCGAGUUGUACAAGACGCUAUUAUACAUGGGUCGAGACUAUCCGAAGGGAUAUCAAUAUUUUAGGACCAAGCUGAGGAGAGCCUUCGACAAAAACAAAGCAGAAACCGAUUCCGAGAAAAUCGAUAAGAUGAUAGGACAUGGUAAUUUCGUGAUAAAGGAACUGGAAGCGUUGUAUAUGUUGCGCAAGUACAGAACUUUGAAGAAAAGAUAUUAUGACAAUUAACAGACAAGAAGUUUACGUCGUGCACAAAUGUCCGACGAUAUUAUGAGUUUUAAUUUUGUGAAUAUUGUUUAGUGUGUACAAAUCUGAAAACAUGGUCGCUUGCGUAGCUGUUAUUGGUAAGGAUAAUUCUCCAAAAUAUAUCAAAUGUGCGGAUGAAGCUUCUGCACUACAAUUUCACUACAAGGUACACACAUCCAUCGAUAUCAUAGAAGAGAAGCUGAGUGUAGGAAAUAAAACAGCAGUGGAUACACG